GCGUGAGUGAUGAAGGUCUUCGGAUUGUAAAACUCUUUCGCCGGGGAAGAUAAUGACGGUACCCGGAGAAGAAGCUCCGGCUAACUUCGUGCCAGCAGCCGCGGUAAUACGAAGGGAGCUAGCGUUGUUCGGAAUUACUGGGCGUAAAGCGCACGUAGGCGGAUUUUUAAGUCAGGGGUGAAAUCCCAAGGCUCAACCUUGGAACUGCCUUUGAUACUGGAAGUCUCGAGAUCGGGAGAGGUGAGUGGAAUUCCUAGUGUAGAGGUGAAAUUCGU
rnacentral:rRNA from 1 species